rnacentral:rRNA from 1 species
CCUACGGGAGGCAGCAGUGGGGAAUAUUGCGCAAUGGGCGAAAGCCUGACGCAGCGACGCCGCGUGAGGGAUGAAGGUCUUCGGAUCGUAAACCUCUGUCAGCAGGGAAGAACGGUCACUGUGCUAAUCAGCAGUGAAUUGACGGUACCUGCAAAGGAAGCACCGGCUAACUCCGUGCCAGCAGCCGCGGUAAUACGGAGGGUGCGAGCGUUAAUCGGAAUUACUGGGCGUAAAGCGCUCGUAGGCGGUAUGUCAAGUCAAGGGUGAAAUCCCCGCGCUCAACGUGGGAACUGCCUUUGAAACUGGCAAACUGGAGUGUGUGAGAGGAUAGUGGAAUUCCAGGUGUAGGAGUGAAAUGCGUAGAGAUCUGGAGGAACAUCAGUGGCGAAGGCGACUAUCUGGCACAUAACUGACGCUGAGGAGCGAAAGCGUGGGUAGCAAACAGGAUUAGAUACCCUUGUAGUC